GCGGUAAUACUGGCAGAACAAGUGGUGUCCACGAAUAUUGGGUCUAAAGAGACCGUAGCUGGUCUGUUAAGUCCACUGUGAAAUCUUGGGGCUCAACCUCAAGGCGUGCAGUGGAUACUGGCAGGCUUGAGAGCGGGGGAGGUCAGGGGUACUUACGGGGUAUGAGUAAAAUCAGUUGAUCCUGUAAGGACCACCAGUGGCGAAGGCGCCUGACCAAAACGCGUCUGACAGUGAGGGUCGAAGGCUAGGAGAACGAAUCGGAUUAGAUACCCGAGUAGCCCUAGCAGUAAAUUAUGCAGACUGUGGUGUUGCCAUGGCUUCGGGCCAUGGCAGUGCUGUAGCGUAGGUGUUAAGUCUGCCACCUGGGGAGUACGGCCGCAAGGUUGAAACUUAAAGGAAUUGGCGGGGGAGCACCACAAGGGGUGGAUGCUGCGGUUCAAUUGGAU
rnacentral:rRNA from 1 species